UUGACCUCGGAUCAGGUAGGACUACCCGCUGGAAUUAAGCAUAUCAAUAAGCGGAGGAAAAGAAACCAACAGGGAUUGCCCCAGUAACGGCGAGUGAAGCGGCAACAGCUCAGAUUUGGAAUCUGGCCCCCAGGGCCCGAGUUGUAAUCUGGAGAGGAUGCUUCUGGCGCGGCGCCUUCCGAGUUCCCUGGAACGGGACGCCGGAGAGGGUGAGAGCCCCGUACGGUCGGACGCCCAGCCUGUGUGAAGCUCCUUCGACGAGUCGAGUAGUUUGGGAAUGCUGCUCAAAAUGGGAGGUAAAUUUCUUCUAAAGCUAAAUAUUGGCCAGAGACCGAUAGCGCACAAGUAGAGUGAUCGAAAGAUGAAAAGCACUUUGAAAAGAGGGUCAAACAGUACGUGAAAUUGUUGAAAGGGAAG
rnacentral:rRNA from 1 species